CUACGGGUGGCUGCAGUGAGGAAUAUUGCACAAUGGGGGGAACCCUGAUGCAGCAACGCCGCGUGGAGGAUGACGCAUUUCGGUGUGUAAACUCCUUUUAUAUGUCAAGAAAAUGACGGUAGCAUAUGAAUAAGCACCGGCUAACUCCGUGCCAGCAGCCGCGGUAAUACGGAGGGUGCAAGCGUUACUCGGAAUCACUGGGCGUAAAGGACGCGUAGGCGGGUUGGCAAGUCAGGUGUGAAAUCCUACAGCUUAACUGUAGAACUGCACUUGAAACUGCUAAUCUAGAGUAUGGGAGGGGGAGAUGGAAUUAGUGGUGUAGGGGUAAAAUCCGUAGAUAUCAGUAGGAAUACCUAAAGCGAAGGCGAUCUCCUGGAACAUUACUGACGCUAAGGCGUGAAAGCGUGGGGAGCAAACAGGAUUAGAUACCCGGGUAGUC
rnacentral:rRNA from 1 species